AGAUUGAACGCUGGCGGCAUGCCUUACACAUGCAAGUCGAACGGCAGCGCGGACUUCGGUCUGGCGGCGAGUGGCGAACGGGUGAGUAAUAUAUCGGAACGUGCCCAGUAGCGGGGGAUAACUACGCGAAAGCGUGGCUAAUACCGCAUACGCCCUACGGGGGAAAGGGGGGGAUUCUUCGGAACCUCUCACUAUUGGAGCGGCCGAUAUCAGAUUAGCUAGUUGGUGAGGUAAAGGCUCACCAAGGCGACGAUCUGUAGCUGGUUUGAGAGGACGACCAGCCACACUGGGACUGAGACACGGCCCAGACUCCUACGGGAGGCAGCAGUGGGGAAUUUGGAC
rnacentral:rRNA from 1 species